UAUGGUAGCUUCUAGAAUAGGGAAUAUUUUGCCUUGCUGCUAGUGAUGUAUUCUGCUUUUGUGUAAUUCCGUUGGUGUUGUGGGGACCAUGUCCCCUAUCCUUAUAGCUAUAAAUAUACAUCAUGUAAUAAGCGCGCUUAUCAUCAGGAAAAUAUCAAAGAAAGCUCUUCCCUUAGUUUUCUCUCCUCUCUCCCUCACUCUCUCGGAGGUGCUGGACCUCGAAUCCAGUAGGCUUACGAGCCUAAUAGAUAAGGUGUUUCUGUUCUCUUUUCUGUUCAUUAGUGUUGACUCUAAUUCAACCAAUGCAGCGUAGCACCGUCAAGGCAAGGAGGGUAUAUAUUUGUCACAACAAAAAAGAUUACCAACUAUUCAAAGAGAUAAUGAAAGUUUUGUUUUUGAUAAAUCUCAGAAGCUGUUGAAAGCAAACUUUAAUUUAAUUUAAUACUAGUAACGUUUAGUCUUAUGUUACAUUUUUUUUUACAAUAGUCUUAUGUUACAUGACACUGACAUACAUACUCCUAUAUAGUAUUAUAAUGAUAAUGAUGUCAUUUGUAGAUGCAAAAUAUUGUAGUAAUAGCUGGCUUAAACGUACAAUUUAAAUAAAUACAUUAUUUAAAA